rnacentral:rRNA from 1 species
CUCCGGUUGAUCCUGCCGGACCCGACUGCUAUCAGAGUGGGACUAAGCCAUGCGAGUCAACGCAGCAAUGCGUGGCAUACGGCUCAGUAACACGUAGUCAACAUGCCCAGGGGACGUGGAUAACCUCGGGAAACUGAGGAUAAACCGCGAUAGGCCAAGAUUUCUGGAAUGGAUAAUGGCUGAAAUCUAUAUGGCCCCUGGAUUGGACUGCGGCCGAUCAGGCUGUUGGUGAGGUAAUGGCCCACCAAACCUGUAACCGGUACGGGCUCUGAGAGGAGGAGCCCGGAGAUGGGCACUGAGACAAGGGCCCAGGCCCUAUGGGGCGCAGCAGGCGCGAAACCUCUGCAAUAGGCGAAAGCUUGACAGGGUUACUCUGAGUGAUGUCCGUUAAGGGCAUCUUUUGGCACUUCUAAAAAUAGUGUAGAAUAAGGGGUGGGCAAGUCUGGUGUCAGCCGCCGCGGUAAUACCAGCACCCCGAGUGGUCGGGACGAUUAUUGGGCCUAAAGCAUCCGUAGCCGGUUCUGCAAGUCUUCCGUUAAAUCCACCUGCUCAACAGAUGGGCUGCGGAGGAUACUACAGGGCUAGGAGGCGGGAGAGGCAAGCGGUACUCAGUGGGUAGGGGUAAAAUCCUCUGAUCCACUGAAGACCACCAGUGGCGAAGGCGGCUUGCCAGAACGCGCUCGACGGUGAGGGAUGAAAGCUGGGGGAGCAAACCGGAUUAGAUACCCGGGUAGUCCCAGCUGUAAACGAUGCAGACUCGGUGAUGAGUUGGCUUAUUGCUAACUCAGUGCCGCAGGGAAGCCGUUAAGUUUGCCGCCUGGGGAGUACGGUCGCAAGACUGAAACUUAAAGGAAUUGGCGGGGGAGCA